UACGUAGGGCGCAAGCGUUUGUCCGGAAUUAUUGGGCGUAAAGAGCUCGUAGGCGGCCUGUUGCGUCCGCUGUGAAAUCCCGGGGCUCAACCCCGGGGCCCUGCAGUGGAUACGGGGCUGGCUAGAGGCAGGCAGGGGAGAACGGGAAUUCCUGGUGUAGCGGUGAAAUGACGCAGAUAUCAGGAGGAACACCGGUGGCGAAGGCGGCAUCCUGGACCGGUAUUGACGCUGAGGCGCGAAAAGCCCAGGGGGAGGCAAAACGGGGAUUAGAAA
rnacentral:rRNA from 1 species